rnacentral:rRNA from 1 species
GAUCAUGGCUCAGGAUGAACGCUAGCUACAGGCUUAACACAUGCAAGUCGAGGGGCAGCGGGAAGUCAGCUUGCUGACUUUGCCGGCGACCGGCGCACGGGUGAGUAACACGUAUCCAACCUCCCGCAUACUCGGGAAUAGCCUUUCGAAAGAAAGAUUAAUGCCCGAUGGUUUCAAGGGAUUGCAUGGUAUCUUGAAUAAAGAUUCAUCGGUUAAUGUCGAUGGGGAUGCGGUUCCA